GAAUUUUGGACAAUGGGCGAAAGCCUGAUCCAGCAAUGCCGCGUGCAGGAUGAAGGCCUUCGGGUUGUAAACUGCUUUUGUACGGAACGAAAAGCUUUGGGUUAAUACCCUGGAGUCAUUCCGGUACCGUCAGAAUAAGCACCGGCUAACACCGUUCCACAGGCCGCGGUAAUACGUAGGGUGCAAGCGUUAAUAGGAAUUACUGGGCGUAAAGCGUGCGCAGGCGGUGUUGUAAGACAGAGGUGAAAGCCCCGGGCUCAAUCUGGGAACUGCCUUUGUGACUGCAAGGCUAGAGUACGGCAGAGGGAGGUGGAAUUCCGCGUGUAGCAGUGAAAUGCGUAGAUAUGCGGAGGAACACCGAUGGCGAAGGCAACCCCCUGGGCCUGUACUGACGCUCAUGCACGAAAGCGUGGGGAGCAAACAUG
rnacentral:rRNA from 1 species